rnacentral:misc_RNA from 1 species
CUGGAACAAGAGUCUUCAUUCAUCCUACAUAUACCACGAUGCCGCAGCUCAUUGGCUAACUGAAACAACCCAAUAUAACUGAAAUGGAUUUCGUUCUGAAUACUAUUUCAUAAUUUCCAAUAGAAAGUAUUAUUGGGGGUUUUGACUUCUGGCAUUAUCAAUGUCAAGUCGUUCACUUAAAAUCACCAUAUACAAUAAGUCACCAUUCAAGUGUUUUCAUUGUGAGCAAGUAAAAGCAAUGCACAAUGAAAUCAAAUAUACAUCUUAAAACAGCACUUCUAACCCAAGUCAUCAAUAGAACAACACAACUCACAACAAAAGAAAUCAGCAGUACCUGACCCCAAUAGCUGUUCCUUUCCCAGCUGUUGGCGAUCUUGUCUUGAAUGCCUGCCAUGCCUGGACACCAUAUUUGCCAGCAUGAGAGGCAGCAGCCACUGCAUUAGCCGCCAUCAAUGGUGCAGCCCAGUGAACUCGGGAGAGACACUUUCUGUGGCGCUACUGCAGUUCAGUGGCAGAACUGACAGGGUUGUUCUCUGUUUGCAUGCAAAAGAAACGGAAAAUGUGAUGAUAGACAGAGAAAUGCAAAGAAAUAUUGAAACGGUGAGAGAUUAGAUAAGAAAAGGUGUUGAUGAUAGUAGUGAGGAAGGUAGUAACGAUGGUCGCGGCAGCUGUAGGGGAACGGAAGGUUAUUUAGAAGUCGCUUGUCCCGAGGAGAUGGAGAAGUUGAAAAGGAAAUGGUGUGGCUGCGGUUAGCCGUUGCGUUGGCGAUAAUAGUUGGCCGUAUAGGGCGGGUUUAGAUACUGUGCUUUCGGCGGUGAGGGGACUAGAGAGAGAGUGGUGAGACGGAA